UACAGAGGCCCCGAGCGUUAUCCGGAAUCAUUGGGCGUAAAGGGUGUGUAGGUGGUUGUAUUAGUCUCCCGUUAAAGCCCCAGGCCUAACCUGGGAAAUGCGGGAGAAACGGUACAACUAGAGGAUGCGAGAGGUAUAUGGAACUCAUGGUGUAGGGGUGAAAUCCGUUGAUAUCAUGGGGAACACCGAAAGCGAAGGCAAUAUACUGGCGCACUCCUGACACUGAAACACGAAAGCAUGGGUAGCGAAGGGG
rnacentral:rRNA from 1 species